AGCGUCUCCCAUCCGCUACCUGAGCCGAGACUGUUCCAGGUAUGUCGUCUCCCGAGUUAUUCUCCGUCGUCGUCGACGAAGAGGCUCCGCACCACCACUUCCAUGACGCCUGCUUUCUCUGCAAGAAGCCCAUAGCCGGCAACGAAGACAUCUUCAUGUACAGGGGUGGCACGCCGUUCUGCAGCAGGGAGUGCCGGCGGGAGCAAAUGGAUAUGGACGAAGCUCUGGAGAAGGAUCGCGUGGCUUCUUAUAGUGCUUCUCCUUCUGCGUCGUCCACGCAGCAGGCCUUCUCCGCGAAGCGUAAGCCGAGCUUGAUCAUGGCUUCCAGCUGUGCGAGGAGAACCGCUUCGGGACCGACGCAGCGGUCGUUGCUAUCAGCUGAUGGCCAAACACCUCCGUGCUUCUCGAACUAGAUUUCGAGUGUGUGUGGGAGAUCAUGUAGAAAAUUUCAGGGUUUCUUGAUAUAGGAGUGAGAGUUACGCUUCUGAUAUCGUUUCUUUUUUUCGAUCGAAAGAAGAGGAGAUUAAUUAGCAUCUCACAGUGUAAUAAUUCUGUUUUCAACUGGUUUCUGUAAGUAUAAAAUAUGUAAUAUAUUAUAUGUAA